CCGGGGUGCUCUUUGCUGCUGGACCCUGAAAGAAAACGGCGGCAGAAAGAAGAUGGCGGGUAUUUGAUCAAGUGGAUGUCCCUGAAGAAAUGAAAUCUGGAAUGGUAGAAGGUGUCUCUAUUGAUUCUUCUAAGUUGGAAUUGGCCAUGGUGACCAACAAUGGAUUUGAGGACCUUAUGGUGGAGAAAAACGUCCUUCUUUCCGGCCUCCAAUUAGAUGUUGAAGAUGAUUAAUCACUUGAGGAGAUGCUAACAACCAUGUUGCCUUUUAAUGUCACAGUACUCUCUAAAGGCGGAAAUAUAUUUACCAUCACAAAAGAAGAAUCAACAAAUCGCGGAAACUAAAAAAAUGUGGAAAAGAUCAUUGUAUACUGCAUUUGUAGUAAAUUUGUAUACAAUCUUCAAUUUACUUGAGUAGAAAGAUUCACUAGUUAUACCAAGUUUGUCUAGAAAAAUCACUGUAUACUGAACAUAACACGACUUCUGUUUAAAACCUUCAUUUAAACUUAGGCAUGUAUUUUUUUAUGUAUCUUAAAAGUCUACCUACAACAAUUUUGUGUAUGCAAUCUUGUACUAGGAUAUUGACAUGACAAGAUUACAUUGCUGAUCAAAGCAUGGGAAGAAUACUGUAUCUAAAAACUGAGUAAAACAAGAUAUAAGCAUCUGUA